rnacentral:rRNA from 1 species
ACGAACGCUGGCGGCGUGCCUAAUACAUGCAAGUAGAACGCUGAAGGAGGAGCUUGCUUCUCCGGAUGCGUUGCGAACGGGUGAGUAACGCGUAGGUAACCUGCCUGGUAGCGGGGGAUAACUAUUGGAAACGAUAGCUAAUACCGCAUAAGAGUAGAUGUCGCAUGACAUUUGCUUAAAAGGUGCAACUGCACCACUACCAGAUGGACCUGCGUUGUAUUAGCUAGUUGGUGAGGUAACGGCUCACCAAGGCAACGAUACAUAGCCGACCUGAGAGGGUGAUCGGCCACACUGGGACUGAGACACGGCCCAGACUCCUACGGGAGGCAGCAGUAGGGAAUCUUCGGCAAUGGACGGAAGUCUGACCGAGCAACGCCGCGUGAGUGAAGAAGGUUUUCGGAUCGUAAAGCUCUGUUGUAAGAGAAGAACGAGUGUGAGAGUGGAAAGUUCACACUGUGACGGUAUCUUACCAGAAAGGGACGGCUAACUACGUG